GAUGAACGCUGGCGGCGUGCUUAACACAUGCAAGUCGAACGGAAAGGCCCAAGCUUGCUUGGGUACUCGAGUGGCGAACGGGUGAGUAACACGUGCGUGAUCUGCCCUGCACUUCGGGAUAAGCCUGGGAAACUGGGUCUAAUACCGGAUAGGACCACAUUUUGGAUGGUGUGGUGGAAAGUUUUUCGGUGUGGGAUGAGCUCGCGGCCUAUCAGCUUGUUGGUGGGGUAAUGGCCUACCAAGGCGUCGACGGGUAGCCGGCCUGAGAGGGUGUACGGCCACAUUGGGACUGAGAUACGGCCCAGACUCCUACGGGAGGCAGCAGUGGGGAAUAUUGCACAAUGGGCGCAAGCCUGAUGCAGCGACGCCGCGUGGGGGAUGACGGCCUUCGGGUUGUAAACUCCUUUCGCUAGGGACGAAGCGCAAGUGACGGUGCCUGGAGAAGAAGCACCGGCUAACUACGUG
rnacentral:rRNA from 1 species